rnacentral:rRNA from 1 species
AAAGGAAUUGACGGGGGCCCGCACAAGCGGAGGAGCAUGUGGCUUAAUUCGAUGCAACGCGAAGAACCUUACCCGGGUUUGACAUGCAGCUGCAAGACCUAUGAAAGUAGGUUCCCUUCGAGGGUGCUGCACAGGUGCUGCAUGGCUGUCGUCAGUUCGUGCCGUGAGGUGUUUGGUUAAGUCCAGCAACGAACGCAACCCCUGCGCCUAGUUACCAGCGAGUAACGUCGGGGACUCUAGGCGGACCGCCCGUGCAAGCGGGAGGAAGGUGGGGAUGACGUCAAGUCAGCAUGGCCCUUACGCCCGGGGCUGCACACGUGCUACAAUGGCCGGUACAAUGGGACGCAACGCCGCAAGGCCGCGCAAACCCCCAGAACCGGCCCCAGUUCGGAUCGGGGUCUGCAACUCGACCCCGUGAAGCCGGAUUCGCUAGUAACGGCGCAUCAGCUACGGCGCCGUGAAUACGUUCCCGGGCCUUGUACACACCGCCCGU